rnacentral:rRNA from 1 species
GGCAGCAGUGAGGAAUAUUGGUCAAUGGACGAGAGUCUGAACCAGCCAAGUAGCGUGAAGGAUGACUGCCCUAUGGGUUGUAAACUUCUUUUAUAUGGGAAUAAAACAGGGUAUGCAUACCCUCUUGUAUGUACCAUAUGAAUAAGGAUCGGCUAACUCCGUGCCAGCAGCCGCGGUAAUACGGAGGAUCCGAGCGUUAUCCGGAUUUAUUGGGUUUAAAGGGAGCGUAGGUGGAUUGUUAAGUCAGUUGUGAAAGUUUGCGGCUCAACCGUAAAAUUGCAGUUGAAACUGGCAGUCUUGAGUACAGUAGAGGUGGGCGGAAUUCGUGGUGUAGCGGUGAAAUGCUUAGAUAUCACGAAGAACUCCGAUUGCGAAGGCAGCUCACUGGACUGCAACUGACACUGAUGCUCGAAAGUGUGGGUAUCAAACAGGAUUAGAUACCCUGGUAGUCCACACAGUAAACGAUGAAUACUC